rnacentral:lncRNA from 1 species
AAUAAUGAGGUUUCGCUGCUUAACUCUAAGCUUUGGUGUAUUCUGUGGCGAUGUCCCUGCAAGGUAACAGUAUGCUUUUUUCUCUUUCAAAUUCUUUUUCUGCGUUCGAUUUGUUCGCGAUUUAGCUUGGUUAGCUCAAGCUUCAACCAAGGAGCUCUGAAUUGCCAUUUGUAUUUUCGAGUUGUGGUAGGGUUUGCAGAAGAAUUUUUGCAGGGUAACGAUGCCUCUUCCGCCUCCUUUCUCAAUGAUUGAAGCACUCUUUAUACAGAAGAAAUGCAAGGUCUCAAAUCAUGUGCCAAUUAUGAGCUGGCGGAGGAUCCCAAGAAUCAUUCUGUUAGAAUAUCUCAGAUUUGGUGGGGACCGAUCCUAAAUCUCCAAUUUGCUGAAAGCUAUUUCGUUUUGUCUGUAGUGAUGUGUGUCGAUCUGUUUUAACACUUUUGGUGGUCCCAUCCAUUUCGGUAUUACCUCAUCCUUGGAAUUCAAAAUUUGUAUGUGAAUGGAAUCGUUUAAAUGUUAAAGUCUUGUUUCAUUGUUUUAGCUUUCCCCUGCAUAGCUGUGUUCUCUGUGUGUGAACUACUAUGAUAUAUUUCUGCUCAUAAAUUAGUUGUGGACUCGUUUGACAGUACCGGGUUAAUAGAGCAAUUCAUAUCUACAAGUGUUCCAAACGGUCCAGGUUUUGAAUUCUCUAAAUAUUUUCCAUUAUGAGUAUGUAGUUCUGUCAAAAAUGAUAUGCCUGCCUGACUAAUAUAUGCUGCAGAUCACCAUUGAGUAUGCAUUUAACGCUUGGUUAUCUUUGGUAGCAGGGCUGUUGUUUCAAAAAUGACACACCAUUGCUUUUGAGCUGAUACGCAGAUGCGGACUUUGUUGCUAUCGCAAGGCACAUAGGCUUGGUUUGGUGGCAAACUUCAAAAGGAUUGGCAAUGUUGCCGGUAUCUUAGCCAUAAAGCUUGAACCACGUAUCCUGUUGGGUUGGACAAGCGAAUUCAUUCCAUGUUGGCGGUUUGGUAACAGGUUUUCUUUCCCUGGUUCAACAUCUGUCAUAGCUCUGUUUGUAUGAUUCCUGUGGCAUCCAUUAUGCUUUUUGCUUUGGAAUAUCAUUUGUCUUGGUUUGAUAAUAGGUUCUAUUGUAACAGGUUUUUGAAGCAUACCCUGGCAAUCGUUUUGGUUUGGAGCAUUAUGGUAUUUAAACUGAUCCCAUCUUUAAUUGAUGAUUCAUAAUGCAAUGGUCUUGCCGCUGUAGCUUUAUCUUGGUGACCCAAAAGCUGUUAAAGUUUCUGCAACCGACCAAAUGCCUAUCCUGUUAUCGGCAUCAGCAUUAUUUAUGGAACUGAAUCAUCCAUCUUGGAGUUGUUACCCAUCGUGUCAUUCAAAGGACCAUCAUGUUGCAAAGGUCUGCAACAUGGCCUGCUGUGGGAGAAAUACUCUGAACUUGUGUCUGCAGCUGUUUUUUGGUGUGACGGCAAGUCGUUGCUGUUUUUCCAUUUUGCAGCUUGUGGCAUUUAUUUUCAAAUUGAUUUGCUUACUCUCUUUUUCAUGUAAAGUUGUUAUCUUAAGUAGGUAAACUGAAUAACGGUUUGAGUUGUUCGUUGGAUUGUCUUGUUUGCAAAUAAAACCUUGUUGUAAAUUAAAUUCUGUCCUACUUAAAACAAACAGUUUGGAUUUGAGCCCUCGUAGAAACUAUCUAUGUUAUGAAAAAUGAUUGACAUUUGGAUUGUAACAGCUUAUGUACUAAUCAUGAAAGGUGCUUGAAAUUGUUAUUAUUAUAUAUAUUUGCCAAUAGAAC